GCUGAAAUCGCUCAGUUGGUAGAACGUCAGACUGAAGAUCUGAAGGUCCUUGAUUCUAAUCCGGGUUUCAGCA